rnacentral:lncRNA from 1 species
GCUAAUUUUUCAUGCACAAAUUGCAGGUGCCAAGCAUAUUUGGCACAGUCCAGGAAUGCCUGGACAAAACUGUGAGUUCUCCUGGCAGCUGGGCUUGUGGAAUAUCCACAGAGGAGCAUGGAGCUUCGUUUUCAAAUCCUAGCUUUGCCUGAUAGGAGCUACAUCUCUCAGAUGGAUUCAUUAUAAUCAUGGGACUGUAGGCUUUGAUUCUGAGAAGAUGUUCUAACCCUGGCCUACUUGCUGGUAUCUCAAUUUCAUUUUUCAUGGUGAAAUCACAUUGGUUCUGGUAUUGUCAAGACCAUCUCUCUCUGCAUAUGGCUGCAGAAUAAGAAGGACAAGAAAAGUUUGACAUGAAUCUGCAUGGACAAUGAAGGAUCUCCUGAAAAACACUCAGGAAAAGAAAAUAUAGAAACAUGCAGAGACAGAAAGAGCAUCAUGUUACCCAGGAGAGGAAAACAGAGAGAGAAGUCUAAGCAUACAGAGAUAGAGUUAGAAAAAUCAAAGACUGUCUGGACUUGAAUUGAGCUACCUACAUCAUCUACCUGGAUUUGUGUUUUCAACUGGAUGCUGUCCUGCAUCCUUGUCUCAAAAAUGAGGAGAGACAUGGCUUUGAUGGAUGGACCACUCAUUGAAUAAGAAAUUGUCUUGAUGGUCACACUGAAAGAGUUGAAGUCAGUGGUUUAAUGUCCAGAUAGAGACUAGAAAUUGCUAGUAUCUCUUCGAAGUCUGCCCUGGGACUAGUAUAAUUUAACAUUUUUGUCAGUGACAUGGACAGUGGGAUUGCACCCCCAACAAGUUUGCUGAUGACACCAAGGUCAGUGGUGUGGUCAAGACACUGGAAUGAAGGGAUGCCACCCAGAUGGAUUUUGACAGGCUUGAGAGGUGGAACAAGUGGGACAAAGUUGGAUGAGGACUUGUAGGUACUGGUGGUUUAAAAACUUGACAUGAAUCAACAAUGUGCACUUGGAGUCCUAUUAGGCAUCAAAAGAAGUGUAGCAAGUAGGUUGUGGGAGUUGAUUGUCCUCCUCUACUCCACUCCCAUAAGACCCCACUGGGAGUACUGAAUUUAUCUCUGUGGCCAAUAGAGUAAGAAAGACAUGGAUACACUAAAGCUUGUCCAGAAGAUGGCCAUGCAGAUGAUAAGAGGGCUGGAGCACCUAUCCUACAAUGUCAUCCUGAGAACAUUGGAAUUAUUUAGCCUAGAGAAGAGAAAGCUAUGGGAAGACCUUUUAGUAGCCUUCCAGUACUGAGAGGGGACUUAUAAAAAAGGUAAAGAGUGAAUCUUUACAUGUACAGACAGUGAUAGAACAAGGUAGAAUGGUUUUACACUAAAAGAGGAGAGAUUUAGAUCAGGUGAUAGAAGGAAAUUCUUGACCCAGAAGGUUGUGAGGCAGUGGAAUAAGAAGCUCAGAGAUAUGAAUGCCCUAUCCCUGGAAUUGCUCAAGGCUAGGUUAGAUGGACCUUUGGGCAACCUGGUGUAGUGGAAGUUGUCCCUGUCGAUGGGAUCCAUCCAUAGAAUCCAAGCCAAGCCAUUCUAUGAAUCUAUGAUUCACUGUAUGAAUUUGGAGAGAUCAUACAAUACAACAUGAAAGGUUUCUGCAGAUCCAUCAGCAAUAAAAGAAAAACUGAGGGUAAUAUGGUCUUGCUGCUGGAUAGGCAGCGACUUGAUGUCAAAGCAGGGGUGUGGAAAGGUCUGACGCUCUUCCUGAUUUCUUCAUCUUAUCUUGUCUUCAGAAAUCUCAUGUCCUUGAAACCCAUGGGAAAGCCUGGAGCAAAGCAAAUUAACAUGCCAGUAGAGGAAGAUGCAGUUAAGGAAAAUAUGAACCAGUUGUAACUUGUAAACAUGUCGAUGGGACUUGAUUGGAUGCAACCACAAGUGUUGAGUUUUUAGUGCUUUCAGCACUCUGGCCUGUAGCAUCCUUGUUGACAAACUGGUGGAAUAGAGUCUAGAGAAGCUGAUGAUGAGGUAUGAUGAGACAGAUUGAUGAAGCCAGUCCAUCUCUAGAGGUGAACUCAAAAGAACUGGGGCCAGUACUGUUUAAGAUCUUCAUAGAUAUGAUGGAACAUAGUGAAAAUUUUCAGACACAAAGUUGGAAAGAGAAAGCAGUAUACCAAAUGUUUGUGUUACCCUUUAGAAGGACCUCAACAAGCUGGAGAACUGAGCUGUCAGGAUUAUCCUGAAGUUUAAGAAAUGGAAAUGUUAAUUCUUGUCCAGGGAGGAGGAAGCCUCAGGCACUCACACAAAGAAGCUGAGGUCUGAAUAUCUGGAAAGCAGCCUUGCAGAAAAGGUCGUGGGGACCUGGUGGGCACCUAAAGGAACAUGAGACAACAAUGUGUUCUAGAGCAUAUGAGGCCAUCAGCGCCUGGGCUGCACUAUGAAAAAUGUCACAAGCAGAUCAAAGGAGGAAAGAGCUCACCUAUUUCAAGGAUCCUAGUUAAGCCAAAGGCUUUUCUAGGUUUUGUAUUGGUCAAAUGGCUGUAUGAAACCAUGUCUGUGACUGAAAAUGUUUUGUCUCUAAAUUAGCUUUUCAUUUCAGUUUAAUCACUGGGAUAAAAACUUCAUACAAAAGAUUUAAAUAUUUUAAUUCAAUUUUUAAAGCUACUUUAAUUAAAACAAUUAAACCUAAAUAUCUGUAUUAUAGCUUUGUGUCAAAAAAAAAAAAAUACUACUAGUUCUAUUAAAACUGCUUUUAAGACAGAUUUAGUUAAACAGGGCAAGCAACUUGUACUUGCUCUUAGACAAUUUUAAACUUGAUUAGCUUUGAUUUGAUGAGAAACACUGUAUCUUCAUGAAGGAAGAAUUUAAUGUUAAUCACCUUCAUCUGUCUAAGAGUUCUGAAUGAAGUUCCCACCAUAAUCAGCUGAAAGGGACAGUCAUGUCAGAAAUGAAUCAUUCCACCUGUUCUGGACAUCUGUAUUAGAAUGGAAAAAAUCACCUUUCACUCAUAACUUUCUCUUCGUGUCUUGAAAAUAUAGUAAAGAGAAACAGUUAAGACUAUGCACUGCUUUUACAUUACUAAAAACAGGUGAAGUUUUUUCCAAGCUGAGCAUUUGCACUAGUUCAAUUUAUUUAUAUUUUUGUUAAUUAAAAUGAAUUAAUGUUCAGCAACAUCUGAGAAAGCAACAUUUGCAUAAUAUUUAUGCAGUUAUUGAUCCAUCAGUAUUAUUUAUUAUGAUUUGGUUACCACACAAAGAAUAAUUAUAUUAAGAGAAAAUAAAUUCUUAUUUUGUUCUUUAAUUUAUCCCUAGAAAAGAGUUUCUCAAGUAAUGCCUGUUUAAAAGUUGUUUCUGCUCUCUUAUUUAAGGAAGGAAAGAGGUGGACAUAACAGUGAGCUCCAUUUUUCUUUCUACAAACAAUAUUAUAAAAUGAGCUCUAGUGGAAAUAAUGCGUACUCAGUGCAGAGAAAUGUUCAUGCUCACCUUCUCUUCUUCAUUGUGCACAAAUAGCUGGAAGGAAGGAAAAAAAUGUUGCUGUGAAUAAAUCCAUUACCCAUGAAGUAUUUUGGGAUGAGAGAAAAGCGUUUUUAAGAAGAAAUGAAGUAAUUGAUUGCAUAUCUAAAGAAACCAGUGAAGGACUAAGCCACAUUACAGUCAAAAACAUAACAUUGCAAGACUGAAAAAUUGCUUUCCUUUUGUUUGUUGAAAUGACAUUGCCUUAUAUAUAUACUUUCAAAAUAUCUCCAGCAGUUUCUUUAACUGCUUUAUCCUUUGUGUGUUGUCUAGCUACAGGAAAUUGGAAAUUGGGCUAUACUGUCCCUUUUACAUUAAUGGUCACAAAUAAGUUUUGUGGCAGUAGUUUUCAUGUCAUCUAAAUGAAGAACAGUAUGGAGAACCAGUUUUUUAUUAUUAUUAUUACUAUUAUUAAUAAUAAUAAUUAAUUUAAUUGAUUUCUUUCUAAUUUCAUGGAAUAUCUUCAUUUUAUUUUGAGAAAAAAAAAAAAUCAUAGAAUCAUAGAAUCCUAGAAUGGCCUGGUUUGAAAAGGAUCUCAAAGAUCACCUAGUUUCAACACACCUGCCGUGGGCAGGGUUGUCAGCCACUAGACCAGGAUGUCCAGAGCCACAUCCAGCCUGGCCUUGAAUGCCUCCAGGGAUGGGGCAUCCACAACCUCCUUGGGCAACCUGUUCCAGUGCUUCACCACUGUCUGAGUGAAAAAAUUCCUCCUAAUAUCUAAGCUAACCCUCCCCUGACUUUGUUUAAAACCAUUCCCCCUUGUCUUAUCACUAUGCAUUUAUGUAAACAGUCAUUCCCAUUCCUGUUUAUAUGCUCCCUUUAAGUACUGGAAGGCCACAAUGAGGUCUCCCUGGAGCGUUAUCUCCUUCAAGCUAAACAAGUCCAGUUUCCUCAGCCUUUCUUCAUAGGAGAGGUGCUCCAGCCCUCUGAUCUUCUCAGUGCAGUGGUCCUCCUCUGGACCUGUUCCAAGAGAUCUGUGCUGGGGGCCCCAGGCCUGGACGCAGUACUCCAGAUGGGGCCUCACAAGAGCUGAGUAGAUGCAGACAAUCACCUCCCUCUCCCUGCCGGCCACCCUUUUUUUAAUGCAGCCCAGAACACAGUUGCCCUUCCAGACUGUAAGCGCACACUGCUGGCUCAUGUCCAGCUUCUUGUCCACUAGGACCCCCAAGUCCUUCACCACAUGGCUGCUCUCAAGUUCUUCCUUCAUUCUGUAUAAAUACCUGGGAUUGCCCUGGCCCAAGCUUGCACUUGGCCUUGUUGAACCUCAUGAGUUUCACAUGGACCCACUUCUCCACCCUGUCCAGGUUCCUCUGGAUCGUUUUCCUUCCCUCCAAUGUAUUGACUACAUCUCUCAGAAAAUAUACAGCCUACCCUCUCACAGUCUUCUUUGAUGAACUUUAUACUCUGUAUUAUCCUCCUUUUCUAACAGACAUUAACUCUUCCUCAUAUUUUUCACUUGUGUCAUAUUUUUCCAGUGCCAUUUCUGUGAUCAAAUAUCUAAAUUGCUUAGUAGCCAUGUGCAUGGCGGUGACUGCACCAGCUGCUGGGGAUUUCCUUGUCUUUUUCCAUUGCAUGUUUCAAUCCAUAGAAGAAUAUGCCUGCAUGAUAAAAUUAUGUGUUUUACAAAAGGAAAAGGGCACACAUUACUAUAAGUCUGAAAACACUCCUUUGCAGAUUUUUUGAUGAUUUAGGUUAAUGUUACGCAAAGAAUGCCCAGCCCAGUUCUUCCCUAGAGAAUGCAAACCAGUUUUUGCAUCUGUUUUAUUAAGAUGUAAGUUAGGAGAGCUCAGUGCUCCUGACAUUACCUACAUUGAAACGUCAGUACAUUUAUAUUAAAAGAUACUUUCAUAUCAGGUGAUGGUAAAUUCUCUGGAAAUAAGUGGGGCAAUGCUGGUGGAGAAGAUCAACUUCUGAAUUAGGCUCCCUAUUCAUAUUGUCUUCUGGAGACAUCUUUACAGAAUAUGGAGAUUGCUGUUGUCUCAUCCUUUCUCUGUCCCCAGCUCUUUGUGGAGCUUAUGCUCCUGAGAUAUAUUUUUAAAUCUCAUGUAACAUUCUAGACUUUAAUAAUGGCAAUGAAUUGUAUAGAUAUCAAUAAGAUGUACUCAGUAUUAGGGAAAACUGCAUAGUUAUGUUUAGAUGCUGAAAAAUUAAUGGAGGUACUGAGACUUUUCUUGCAAAAAAUAUUUAUCAAUCAAGUUACUUUGCAUUGAGUAACUGGCAAUCAUAUUGGAUAUUUCUAAGAAAGUUCUGGUAUAAAAUAUACAAAAAAAGACAUUUUUAAAAAGUUAAAAGAAAUUAUGUCAAUAUUCUGCUUAUAACAUCACAAAAUAAACAAUCAAACAAAUGAAUUGUGAUUGUAUAGACAAAAUGAAUGCCUUAUGUACUACUAAGCCACAAAUAUAUUGCAGUUCAUCACUUCAAGGUUUAUGAGCUAUUCACAUUGAGAUAGAUCACCUAAUCUUUCUCUGAUCAAUCUACAUAUACAUCUGUAACAAGAUGCAUUGUGUGAACCUCUACAGAGUUGUAGCACUGCUGGUAUUAUAUAUUAUUUGUUCUGCAUAUUGCAUUUUACCUCACAAUCACUACUGGAAAUUUCUGAUGUCAGAACGAUGCCGGGUCUCCAUCUUACAAUGAUAAUUACUUUAGCUGCAGAGCUUGUAUUUAUGGUUAAAACUCCAAUGCAGUAUUUUUUUCCUGUUUUCUUGCAUGUUUAUCUAAUUGCUACGCAGUUAUGAAAUGGGUAAGUUAUGAAUGUACUGAUUUAAUUAGAAGCUUUGAUUAUAUUUAUUUAUUACCCACAAAAAGUAAAUGGAGUAACUUUCAUACAAGGUUUACACUGGCUCUGAAGACUUUAAAUACAAUUACUGGCAAGCUACUGUAGUAGACACAUGGUGUGUGUGGGGGUGUCAGCUUUUAAUUGUAACUGUCUUGCAGAGUGGUGUUGUUUUAAUAUCCUGUAUAGAUUUUUAUGUAAUACACUUACUUGCAGGCAGCCUGAAGCAAGAAUCAAUUCUGUGAAGGAUUCUUCUUUUGUUAAAAGCC